rnacentral:tRNA from 1 species
GCUGUUUUAGUUUAGUUAAAAAUUUCAUUUUGUGAUGAUGAGGAUUCAUUUAUUGAAAAUGGCA